GACGAACGCUGGCGGCGUGCUUAACACAUGCAAGUCGAACGGAAAGGCCCCAGCUUUCUGGAGUGCUCGAGUGGCGAACGGGUGAGUAACACGUGGGUAAUCUGCCCUGCACUUUGGGAUAAGCCUGGGAAACUGGGUCUAAUACCGGAUAGGACCUUCUUCCUCAUGGGGUUUGGUGGAAAGUUUCUCGGUGCAGGAUGGGCCCGCGGCCUUUCAGCUUGUUGGUGGGGUAAUGGCCUACCAAGGCCUCGACGGGUAGCCGGCCUGAGAGGGUGAUCGGCCACAUUGGGACUGAGAUACGGCCCAGACUCCUACGGGAGGCAGCAGUGGGGAAUAUUGCACAAUGGGCGAAAGCCUGAUGCAGCGACGCCGCGUGCGGGAUGACGGCCUUCGGGUUGUAAACCGCUUUCAGUAGGGACGAAGCGCAAGUGACGGUACCUGGAGAAGAAGCACCGGCUAACUACGUG
rnacentral:rRNA from 1 species